rnacentral:tRNA from 1 species
AGUUAAAUAGCUUAAGAAAGCAUGUAUUUUGAAAAUACAAGAAGUAAGUUAAAUUCUUACAUUAACUU